rnacentral:rRNA from 1 species
UGGGCAACCUGCCCCUAGCACUGGGAUAACCCCGGGAAACCGGGGCUAAUACCGGAUAUGACCUCGGAGGGCAUCUUCUGAGGUGGAAAUGUUCCGGCGGCUAGGGAUGGGCCCGCGGCCUAUCAGCUUGUUGGUGGGGUGAUGGCCUACCAAGGCGACGACGGGUAGCCGGCCUGAGAGGGCGACCGGCCACACUGGGACUGAGACACGGCCCAGACUCCUACGGGAGGCA